AUGACGCGGGGGAAGCAGAAGAUCGACGCGCAGCGGAAGAGCGCGGAGAAGAACCAAAAGUCCAAGGGGUCGCAGCUCGAGGCCCGCGCCGUCGGCCUCAAGGUCGUCUGCCCAAUCUGCAAGGCGCAACUGGCCAACGAGAAGCAGUUGAUUGAUCACUAUGGAUCGAAGCAUCCCAAGGAGAAACCUCCAGGUCCAUCAAAUGCAGAGUGA
rnacentral:rRNA from 1 species